rnacentral:rRNA from 1 species
UAGGGAAUCUUCCACAAUGGACGCAAGUCUGAUGGAGCAACGCCGCGUGAGUGAAGAAGGUUUUCGGAUCGUAAAGCUCUGUUGUUGGUGAAGAAGGAUAGAGGUAGUAACUGGCCUUUAUUAGACGGUAAUCAACCAGAAAGUCACGGCUAACUACGUGCCAGCAGCCGCGGUAAUACGUAGGUGGCAAGCGUUGUCCGGAUUUAUUGGGCGUAAAGCGAGCGCAGGCGGAAGAAUAAGUCUGAUGUGAAAGCCCUCGGCUUAACCGAGGAACUGCAUCGGAAACUGUUUUUCUGGAGUGCAGAAGAGGAGAGUGGAAUUCCAUGUGUAGCGGUGGAAUGCGUAGAUAUAUGGAAGAACACCAGUGGCGAAGGCGACUCUCUGGUCUGCAACUGACGCUGAGGCUCGAAAGCAUGGGUAGCGAACAGG